rnacentral:rRNA from 1 species
AGCGCAGGUGGGAAAGCAAGUCAGUCUUAAAAGUGCGGGGCUCAACCCCGUGAUGGGAUUGAAACUGCUUUUCUUGAGUGCAGGGGAGGAAAGCGGAAUUCCUAGUGUAGCGGUGAAAUGCGUAGAUAUUAGGAGGAACACCAGUGGCGAAGGCGGCUUUCUGGACUGUAACUGACACUGAGGCUCGAAAGCGUGGGGAGCGAACA